UACCAGCACCCCGAGUGGUCGGGACGUUUUAUUGGGCCUAAAGCAUCCGUAGCCGGUUCUACAAGUCUUCCGUUAAAUCCACCUGCUUAACAGAUGGGCUGCGGAAGAUACUAUAGAGCUAGGAGGCGGGAGAGGCAAGCGGUACUCGAUGGGUAGGGGUAAAAUCCGUUGAUCCAUUGAAGACCACCAGUGGCGAAGGCGGCUUGCCAGAACGCGCUCGACGGUGAGGGAUGAAAGCUAGGGGAGCAAACGGG
rnacentral:rRNA from 1 species